GAUGAAGAACGUAGCGAAACGCGAUAAGUAAUGUGAAUUGCAGAAUUCAGUGAAUCAUCGAAUCUUUGAACGCACCUUGCGCCUUUUGGUAUUCCGAAAGGCACACCUGUUUGAGCGUCAUGAAUACCUCAAUCUCCAUCUUUUCUUCGGAUUGAUGGGUGACUUGGAUGUUGAGCCCUGCUGGUAUGCUAUAUCAGCUGGCUUUAAACUUAUUAGCCGGCUCUGUACUGGAUCGGUUUGACUCGACGUGAUAAUAUUAUCGUUGAGGAUGCAUGUCUCAUGCAGCCGGAAAGUAUCAAAGCAGCUUCUAGCUUGCCUUUAGUGCACUUUUACAUUUUAGACCUCAGAUCAGGUGGGACUACCCGCUGAACUUAAGCAUAUCAAUAAGCGGAGGA
rnacentral:misc_RNA from 1 species